GAUCAUGUUGUUCAAAGAAGCGUAUGCCUCCGUCAAUAUCACCUGUAACAUGAAAUCAUUUCGUCAUAACGUUGACAAAUUGCGAAUCUUGGGGAGGUAAUUUGAUGAUAGCUAUCGUAGAUUGAAGUUUUUUCAAACAGUUUUUC